CUCCUGGUGGUCUAGUGGUUAGGAUGCAGCGCUCUCAUGGCUGCAGCCCAGGUUUGAUUCCCGGUCAGGGAA
rnacentral:tRNA from 1 species